rnacentral:rRNA from 1 species
UGUGCCAGCCGCCGCGGUAAUACGUAGGGUCCAAGCGUUAAUCGGAAUUACUGGGCGUAAAGCGUGCGCAGGCGGUUGUGCAAGACCGAUGUGAAAUCCCCGGGCUUAACCUGGGAAUUGCAUUGGUGACUGCACGGCUAGAGUGUGUCAGAGGGGGGUAGAAUUCCACGUGUAGCAGUGAAAUGCGUAGAGAUGUGGAGGAAUACCGAUGGCGAAGGCAGCCCCCUGGGAUAACACUGACGCUCAUGCACGAAAGCGUGGGGAGCAAACAGGAUUAGAUACCCUGGUAGUCCACGCCCUAAACGAUGUCAACUAGUUGUUGGGGAUUCAUUUCCUUAGUAACGUAGCUAACGCGUGAAGUUGACCGCCUGGGGAGUACGGUCGCAAGAUUAA